GUAGGUGGCAAGCGUUGUCCGGAAUUAUUGGGCGUAAAGCGCGCGCAGGUGGUUCUUUAAGUCUGAUGUGAAAGCCCCCGGGCUCAACCGGGGAGGGUCAUUGGAAACUGGGGAACUUGAGUGCAGGAGAGGAAAGUGGAAUUCCACGUGUAGCGCUGAAAUGCGUAGAUAUGUGGAGGAACACCAGUGGCGAAGGCGACUUUCUGGCCUGUAACUGACACUGAGGCGCGAAAGCGUGGGGAGCAAACAGGAUUAGAUACCCUGGUAGUCCACGCCGUAAACGAUGAGUGCUAAGUGUGGGGGGGUUUCCGCCCCUCAGUGCUGCAGCUAACGCAUUAAGCACUCCGCCUGGGGAGUACGGUCGCAAGACUG
rnacentral:rRNA from 1 species